CCUGGUGGCUCAGAGGUUAAAGUGUCUGCCUCCAAUGCAGGAGACUCGGGUUCAAUCCCUGGGUCAGGA
rnacentral:tRNA from 1 species